GAAUGGCAGGAUUAGAGUGCAGGGGCCAGCUAGGGCCUCCAGGGAGACUGGCCCCUGGUGCUCCAGGAGAGCAGAGAGCAGCGCAUGGCUCAGCCCUUGUCACUCAGGUGAGGAAACUGAGCCUGAGCCUGAACAAGGAUGAGGAAACUUGAGGCUCAGAAUGGUUAAUUACCUUGCCCAAGGUUACUGAUUAGUAAACCACUGGGUAGGGACUCAAGCCCACAUCUGUCUACCAGCAAAGGCUGUCCAUACUACACCAUGUUAUCUCCAAAUGAAGCCUCAUAUGAAGUUGCUGCAGAAACUCGAGGGGAAAAAAGGACUUUUAGGUCUUCUGGAACUAUACCUCACAUCUAGUCUCAGUGAAUCUGCCCCAUCUCAUAGCGCUGGGUCCUGGGAGGAGGAGCAGGAGGAGGUGUGUCCACCAGCUCCCUCCCCUUCUUCCUGCUGUGUGCCUGCUUCCUAAGAAGCAAAGACACACUUGAGUUAGGAUCAACACGAGGAGCCCACAGUGAGUUGAUGUGACACAUGCAGCUCCCUGGGUGGCAGAGUGGGCUUCUUGUGGGGUGACAGUCAAUGAGAGUUCUGGACGUGUGUGGACAAGAUGGUGUGCUGAUCACGAGUGAAUGUACAGGCAAGGCUGCCCAGGAAACAGGCUACUUCCUAACCGAGGUUCCCUGGAGUGGCUGGUGGGGCACAGCACCCACCAUGUGGACACUUUGUCUUCCCCAUACUAAUAACAGCAAAUAGCAUUAUCAUCUGGCAGGGGCUCUUCUAAGUGCUUUACAAAUGUUAACUCAUGAAUCCUCACAGCAGCCCUAUGUGGUAGGGACUAUUAUUACCCCUGUUUCAUAAAGUUACAGCGCCUUUAAGUAACUACCCCAAGGUCAGAGCAGAGGAGCCCUUCUUAACACCUUAGAGACACUAACAGGUGCCUGACAAAUACUAACUGAUGUGUGAAAAGGAUUAGUAUGUCCUCACAGAUCCCAGCAUCUCAGAGCUGGAAGUUGUUUUAAGAGACCCUCAGAUUCAGACCCUUCGUCUUAGGCACAAACUCAGGCCCCAAGAGGGAUAGUAACUCAUUCAACAACAGCACUGAUGCUUUUGGUAGAUGCCUGCAGCUGUUUCCCAUGCUCCUGGCUUGGCACAAAGGCCUGCCCUCCCUGAGUCUCCCAGGGAUCUGCUGUUACUCCAGGAGCGCCCACCAGCAAGCUCACGAGUCCAGGGAGAGCCCAGCACUUUUCCACAUGCAGGUGUUCAUUGCUCUAAUCGUUUCUGGGGUGGAGGUAGGGUACCGCAAGGUAUGGUCCAACGACCAAAGCUGGUCUGUGCACUGUUGAGGUCCGGGACCAGAUAUGGACAAACAGCAGACAUGAGUUCCUGCACUAGAAGGACAACUCCUUGAGGACAGGGAUGCUCUUCAUCUGAGCCCGGAAUCUGCCACUAAGUUAUCCUCCAAAGAUGCUGGUUAUACAACUACAAGCCAAGCGAGGUCAGAGAAGAGGGUCGGAGCCCAAACAGAGAAGACAGCCGUGGGUGUCGGAGGAGAAAAGACUGAAAGGGAAGCUGAAGAAAGGAAUGGGGAGGAGACCAGGAAAAAGGAGGAAGAGAGAGAGCUCAGAACUGAGGAAACCUGCACGAAAAUGCACGAUCUGGAAACAGACAGAAAGAAUUGUGAAAAGCAGAACUGUGCGAACCUCUUUUAAAAUUCAGCCUUUAGAGAUUAUCUAGUCCAAACCCUGCCUUUAUGGGGAGGAAAAAUAAAGGUCUCUGUAGGGAAACACUUGCCAAGAUAAUGUGCAGGGAGUUAAUGGCAGACCCAGGAUAAGAGCCUGAUAGAGUCAGACAAGCCUGAUGACUUUGAUUUCUGGUUAUAAGCUGUGUGAUACUGGGCAAGUUAGUUUCUCAUUCUGAGCCAGUUUACUCAUCAAUGAAGAUGAAGUUAAUCAUGUCUCUAUCUCGUAGCCUAAUUGUAAGAAUUAAAUGAGAUGCUGUAAAUAAAGUUGCCUGCAUGUGCCUG